rnacentral:rRNA from 1 species
AGAACGAACGCUGGCGGCAUGCCUAAUACAUGCAAGUCGAACGAACACUUCGGUGUUAGUGGCGCACGGGUGCGUAACGCGUGGGAAUCUGCCCUUGGGUUCGGAAUAACAGUUGGAAACGACUGCUAAUACCGGAUGAUAUCGAAAGAUCAAAGAUUUAUCGCCCAGGGAUGAGCCCGCGUAGGAUUAGCUAGUUGGUGAGGUAAAGGCUCACCAAGGCGACGAUCCUUAGCUGGUCUGAGAGGAUGAUCAGCCACACUGGGACUGAGACACGGUCCAGACUCCUACGGGAGGCAGCAGUGGGGAAUAUUGGACAAGUGGGGCG